AUUAUGAGGUUACAUUUAAUCAGACAGGUAAUUGUUCGUGUGCAUGUGUUAUUUUUGAGUUUUUAACAGCUGUUUUUGGUUGAAAAAUAAAGCGUUGUAGAAAUGACAUUGCAUACUGUUAGUUUGUCCACUCCCGUAUACCGUGCUUGUUGUUUUGCAUCAUGACCUUUCUUAACUUUUAUGCAGCCUGGAGAGCGCUAGUCUUAUUCAAGUUAUGACAUUGUAGACUUGGUAAGAGACUGCUGUGGGCAUUUUGUGGUAAAGCACUGCAGUGGGCGUGUCACCCUGAGAGGCUACGUGAGGAUUUUGAAAGAAGAUUGCAGAUUCACCAGCAAAAAUGAUAUUUGGAAGACUAUCCUUUUCUCAAAUUGCACUGGUGACUCUCAUCGGAGUUGCUGGGGGAGUGUAUGUGUACAAACCAAUCUAUGAGCAGUAUAACAAAGAGCAGAGGUUACUUAAAGAAAAGAAAGAGCCACAACAGCUGGGAGAGCAGAAGGAAAACUCGAACAGUAAAACAGACUGUGGGUGCCAUCAUUAAACAGCGCUGUGCCUUUGCUUUUGAUGAUGAUGAAUGCAAAGUAUUGUUGGUCAGAAAUGGAACUGUAAUAAAUCAUUGCAACUCUAGAA